rnacentral:rRNA from 1 species
UACGAACGGUGCGAACGUUAUUCGGCUGUAUUGGGCGUAAAGGGUAUGUAGGUGGCUUAAUGGAGUUUUGGUCAAAUGCUGGAGUGAUGACUGUAGCGGGACUUUUUUGGUUUGUUAAGCUUGAGUUUGUGUGAGGUAGGAGGAAUUUCUAGUGUAGAGGUAAGAUUCGACCAUGAUAUUAGAAGGUACGCCGAUAGCGAAGGCAUCUUUCCAAUGCUAACUGACACCAAAAUACGAAAGCACGGGUAUCAAACAGG